GAUGAACGCUGGCGGCGUGCCUAAUACAUGCAAGUCGAGCGAACAGACGAGGAGCUUGCUCCUCUGACGUUAGCGGCGGACGGGUGAGUAACACGUGGAUAACCUACCUAUAAGACUGGGAUAACUUCGGGAAACCGGAGCUAAUACCGGAUAAUAUAUUGAACCGCAUGGUUCAAUAGUGAAAGACGGUUUUGCUGUCACUUAUAGAUGGAUCCGCGCCGCAUUAGCUAGUUGGUAAGGUAACGGCUUACCAAGGCAACGAUGCGUAGCCGACCUGAGAGGGUGAUCGGCCACACUAGAGCUGGGACACGGUCCAGACUCCUACGGGAGGCAGCAGUAGGGAAUCUUCCGCAAUGGGCGAAAGCCUGACGGAGCAACGCCGCGUGAGUGAUGAAGGUCUUCGGAUCGUAAAACUCUGUUAUUAGGGAAGAACAAAUGUGUAAGUAACUAUGCACGUCUUGACGGUACCUAAUCAGAAAGCCACGGCUAACUACGUG
rnacentral:rRNA from 1 species